rnacentral:rRNA from 1 species
AGAGUUUGAUCCUGGCUCAGAACGAACGCUGGCGGUAUGCCUAACACAUGCAAGUCGAACGCGAACGGAAUCUUCGGAUUCCAAGUAGAGUGGCGCACGGGUGAGUAACACGUGGAUAAUCUGCCCUAAGGUCAGGGAUAACACUUCGAAAGGGGUGCUAAUACCGGAUAAGCUCACGCCUUCCUCGGAAGAAGUGAGAAAAGAUUUAUUGCCUUAAGAUGAGUCCGCGGUCCAUUAGCUAGUUGGUGGGGUAAUGGCCUACCAAGGCUGCGAUGGAUAGCUGGUCUGAGAGGAUGAUCAGCCACACUGGAACUGAGACACGGUCCAGACUCCUACGGGAGGCAGCAGUGGGGAAUUUUGCGCAAUGGGGGAAACCCUGACGCAGCAAUACCGCGUGAAGGAUGAAGGCCCUUGGGUCGUAAACUUCUGUCAGAGGGGAAGAAAUACUCGCAAGAGUGCUGACGGUACCCUCAAAGGAAGCACCGGCUAACUCCGUGCCAGCAGCCGCGGUAAUACGGAGGGUGCAAGCGUUGUUCGGAAUUAUUGGGCGUAAAGAGCAUGUAGGCGGUCUGUUAAGUCUGGUGUGAAAGCCCGGGGCUCAACCCCGGAAGUGCAUUGGAUACUGGCAGACUUGAGUAUGGGAGAGGGAAGUGGA